CGGCUUCUGUCCUCAGGCUCCGCCUCCGCCAGGUCGAUUUUUAGGAGGAGGUUACGCUGUAGAAACACAGGUUGCCCAAAACUGACUUCUGAGGCUUCUUUUUCUUCGGAUUACUACGAUCCCUGGGAAAUGGAGGCUGUAAUUAGUUGAAUCAGGAAGGCGCUGGCUUUGGGGAGAAGUCUCAAGUUUCCAGAGGGGACCCUUCGCCUGCAAUAACGUGAAGUUGGGGAGCAGCUGCUGGGCAAAUGGCUGUUACGAUUCCCUGUGCCGAAAAGCUGUUUAUUGACAAGCCGUGGCUAACCUAACGGUUCAGGAACUCUUGCAGAAGCUUCUUACGACAGUUGACAUUUACAUAGUUCUGUGUAUUGGGUAGCUGUGUUUCAAAGGCUGUCAACAAUUCCUCCACAAACAUGGAUUUGAGAAUGUGAACAUUGAGGCAAGAAGUUUAAAUCAUGGCAUUUUGGGGUCAAGCUGUGCAAUGUGUUUGCUGUUUAGAGGAAGAUCUUUGGGGAGACAGAGCCUGCGUGAUUAAAGAGGAAGCAAGAAGCAAAUGAGAAAACAGACUGUGGUUUCUGCUUUUCCUUUGAAAUUUCAAGCCGCUCUAAGUCAGAUUGCCCCCUGAGUUUCUAAUGAUGGCUCUUGUGAGGUUGCCUUCUUUUACUUUGUUUUUCCAGAGCUGUUAUUUGGCCUGACAGCAGCAAAAAUGAUGUAGGCAGUCUGUCCGCCAGCAAACUAAUGUGGGAAGCACAGAUAAGGCAUUCUUAGCCUUUCUAGAACCCUGACAUCCUACCAUUUCAGGCUGAUUCACACAAAAUGAGCAAGUCGUGCAGAUGGAAGAGCCUUUGAAGAAUUAUAGCCACUCAUUUCUACAAAUGGGGAAAAUAAGGCUUCUGGUGAUUUCCCCAAAUUUACUUUUUAUCUCUAGUAACUUCAGGUCUAAUGAGGCAGUAAAACUUGUAUACAAAUAAUUUUAAUUGUAAGUGUAAAGAAAUUGCUUUCCUAGAAAAUAAAACUUAAGACAAAUAACCCAAGGUUGAGCCUAGAAAGGGUUUGGAAUAGGAAAAGGAGACAUAGUAGCCCAGAGUUACCUCCCAGUUUUGCCUUCUUCUUUGGUAAAGGUUCUCAAUAAUUGAUACCAUGACCAAACUGCAGCCAUGGCUAGGGAUUAAGUCAAUGAUGGCAGACCAAAAGUCUGAAAAGGAGUUGAAAUGAUC